rnacentral:lncRNA from 1 species
UUAAUAUUAAUAAAAAUUACAUUGUUUCUUUGAGAUUCCUGGACUGUCUUUAUGUUUAUGCUGCUCUGAUUUUACUUAUAUGUUUGCAAUUUUGUUUUUACAUUUCUGUUGCAUCCGUGUUUUAAUUUAGUUUAUCCGCAUUCACAAACACCUUCAAACGCCCCCAACCUUCAUGUUAGACCUGAUUCUGAACCGCAAUUGGUCCUUGAGAGACGACCUUUUGUUGUGUUAGUGUGUGUUGUGUUUUGUCUCGUAUUGUAGGAGUCACUUCCUAGCACUAUACUGCAUUCCUAAUUUGCAAUCAAAUUUGUAUGGGGUGCGACAACGCAUCAAAUUUUGGCGCCGUUGCCGGGGACCAACGAUUCGGUUUUAGGUCUUUUGUUUUGUCUCGUGUUCCGUUUUGUAUGUCGUGUCAUGUGUGUUGCAUUUAGAUAGUUGCAUAUUUUCAUUCCAUUCUUCUUUCCCCUUUCUUUCCCAUGGGUACCUAUUUUGGCUUUGUGGAUACUGCUUAUUCUGCCUGUGCCUAUGAUUAUGAUUCUCCUUCUGGAUGUUACUCUAAUGAUUGUGAUGUAUGCUCUGCUGAUUUCUGUGCUUAGAACAAUAUGACUCAUCCUCCCGCUCAUGAGAGUGCUCUUUCGGAGCCAGUUUCACUUCAUGAGGAUGAUUUUCAUUGCGUUCUCACCUCUG